ACGUCAGCUCAGGGACGAAGUCCCAGAUUCUCGGCGCUUUUGUUUACUGCGCAUGCGCGUAUGGCCUCCGGGCGGGCUGCUUUGCUGCUGCUGAGCAGGGAGAGUUAGGAGAUAAAUGCAGUAAGAAGGCCAAUACUCAUAAUGGAACUGAAAUCUUAACAAGGAAGAGUUGGCUGUCGGAGAAAUGCCAGUACUUCCCAUUACAGAAACACUCCUAAGAAUACAUGUCCGUCUGUGAUCCACCCAGACCAGUAUCCAAGCCUAAAGGUAAAAUUAUGGGAUUUUGUAUGGAAAUUAAUUAUUACCCUACAAUAUACUGGCCCCCGAUAGUGAAAAUGGACUUCAAGACAUUUCUAGCUUAUCUCAAAUUCCUGUUUCAGGUUUCCAAGAGCCAUUCAUUGAAGUCAAGACCUGAAGAACUUAUCUGGCCCACUAAAACUUUCCUGUACCCCAAUUUGUAUUUUCACCUUGUAUGCUCACUUGAGAUACUACGUUUCA